rnacentral:lncRNA from 1 species
CCUGUAUUCAGGUACAUAGAAAUUAGCUCAAAAUUGGGAGAAAGAGUGUAAAGAGAGAACUGGAUAGGCAGGUAUUUAAACUCUUGUCUGUGAGAAAAUAACUGGUUUGUGUUUUUCUUCUAGGGCGGCCCAGGUUCUUCCCACAGUUCUUACUCCGGUAACCAGGGAGGGUCUUCCUACUAUCCUGGUGGAUCUUAUGGACAGGGCGGCCCAGGUUCUUCCCACAGUUCUUACUCUGGUAACCAGGGAGGGUCUUCCUACUAUCCUGGUGGAUCUUAUGGACAGGGAGGGUCUUCUGUUUAUGAUGGUAGCAGUGAAUCCUAUGGUCAGGGUGGAUCUUCCGCGUAUAGUGGUGCUGAGUCCUAUGGCCAGGAUUCGCCUUCCCUAGGAGGCAGUGAAACUGCUGAGAGUGAUUCCUCCUCACCAGCUGGUAGCCGCCAGAGUGAACGGGAUUUUUAUUCCCCAGGAGGCAGCCAGUCAGGUGGACAUGGAUCAUCUUCUCAAGGUGGUGGCUACUCGAGUGGACAGGACUCGUCGUCAUCUGGAAGUAGCCAGUAUGGUGGGCAGGGUUCAUCUUCUUCAGGAGGCAGCCAGCCUGGUGGACAGGGUGCAUGUGAUUGUUCUGGGGGAAGUUCUGGUGGAUCCCCUACCUUAGUCAGAAGUGAUGCCUCUGCAAAUGACUCAUCUUCUUCUGGAGGCAGCCAGUACAGCAGCCAAGAUUCAUAUUCCUCAGGAGCUAGCCAGUAUGGAGGACAUGGGCCAUCUUCUUAUGGAGGCAGCCAAUAUGGUGGACAAGGUUCACCUUCCUCAGGAGGCAGCCAAUAUGGUGGACAGGUGAGAAUUCUUCCCUUGUGGUGCUUACUACUUCAUCAGAGACAUUCGAUAAACGUCU